GUGACUGCGUACCUUUUGUAUAAUGGGUCAGCGACUUAUAUUCUGUAGCAAGGUUAACCGAAUAGGGGAGCCGAAGGGAAACCGAGUCUUAACUGGGCGUUAAGUUGCAGGGUAUAGACCCGAAACCCGGUGAUCUAGCCAUGGGCAGGUUGAAGGUUGGGUAACACUAACUGGAGGACCGAACCGACUAAUGUUGAAAAAUUAGCGGAUGACUUGUGGCUGGGGGUGAAAGGCCAAUCAAACCGGGAGAUAGCUGGUUCUCCCCGAAAGCUAUUUAGGUAGCGCCUCGUGAAUUCAUCUCCGGGGGUAGAGCACUGUUUCGGCAAGGGGGUCAUCCCGACUUACCAACCCGAUGCAAACUGCGAAUACCGGAGAAUGUUAUCACGGGAGACACACGGCGGGUGCUAACGUCCGUCGUGAAGAGGGAAACAACCCAGACCGCCAGCUAAGGUCCCAAAGUCAUGGUUAAGUGGGAAACGAUGUGGGAAGGCCCAGACAGCCAGGAUGUUGGCUUAGAAGCAGCCAUCAUUUAAAGAAAGCGUAAUAGCUCACUGGUCGAGUCGGCCUGCGCGGAAGAUGUAACGGGGCUAAACCAUGCACCGAAGCUGCGGCAGCGACGCUUAUGCGUUGUUGGGUAGGGGAGCGUUCUGUAAGCCUGUGAAGGUGUGCUGUGAGGCAUGCUGGAGGUAUCAGAAGUGCGAAUGCUGACAUAAGUAACGAUAAAGCGGGUGAAAAGCCCGCUCGCCGGAAGACCAAGGGUUCCUGUCCAACGUUAAUCGGGGCAGGGUGAGUCGACCCCUAAGGCGAGGCCGAAAGGCGUAGUCGAUGGGAAACAGGUUAAUAUUCCUGUACUUGGUGUUACUGCGAAGGGGGGACGGAGAAGGCUAUGUUGGCCGGGCGACGGUUGUCCCGGUUUAAGCGUGUAGGCUGGUUUUCCAGGCAAAUCCGGAAAAUCAAGGCUGAGGCGUGAUGACGAGGCACUACGGUGCUGAAGCAACAAAUGCCCUGCUUCCAGGAAAAGCCUCUAAGCAUCAGGUAACAUCAAAUCGUACCCCAAACCGACACAGGUGGUCAGGUAGAGAAUACCAAGGCGCUUGAGAGAACUCGGGUGAAGGAACUAGGCAAAAUGGUGCCGUAACUUCGGGAGAAGGCACGCUGAUAUGUAGGUGAAGUCCCUCGCGGAUGGAGCUGAAAUCAGUCGAAGAUACCAGCUGGCUGCAACUGUUUAUUAAAAACACAGCACUGUGCAAACACGAAAGUGGACGUAUACGGUGUGACGCCUGCCCGGUGCCGGAAGGUUAAUUGAUGGGGUUAGCGGUAACGCGAAGCUCUUGAUCGAAGCCCCGGUAAACGGCGGCCGUAACUAUAACGGUCCUAAGGUAGCGAAAUUCCUUGUCGGGUAAGUUCCGACCUGCACGAAUGGCGUAAUGAUGGCCAGGCUGUCUCCACCCGAGACUCAGUGAAAUUGAACUCGCUGUGAAGAUGCAGUGUACCCGCGGCAAGACGGAAAGACCCCGUGAACCUUUACUAUAGCUUGACACUGAACAUUGAGCCUUGAUGUGUAGGAUAGGUGGGAGGCUUUGAAGUGUGGACGCCAGUCUGCAUGGAGCCGGCCUUGAAAUACCACCCUUUAAUGUUUGAUGUUCUAACGUUGGCCCCUGAUCGGGGUUGCGGACAGUGUCUGGUGGGUAGUUUGACUGGGGCGGUCUCCUCCUAAAGAGUAACGGAGGAGCACGAAGGUUGGCUAAUCCUGGUCGGACAUCAGGAGGUUAGUGCAAUGGCAUAAGCCAGCUUGACUGCGAGCGUGACGGCGCGAGCAGGUGCGAAAGCAGGUCAUAGUGAUCCGGUGGUUCUGAAUGGAAGGGCCAUCGCUCAACGGAUAAAAGGUACUCCGGGGAUAACAGGCUGAUACCGCCCAAGAGUUCAUAUCGACGGCGGUGUUUGGCACCUCGAUGUCGGCUCAUCACAUCCUGGGGCUGAAGUAGGUCCCAAGGGUAUGGCUGUUCGCCAUUUAAAGUGGUACGCGAGCUGGGUUUAGAACGUCGUGAGACAGUUCGGUCCCUAUCUGCCGUGGGCGCUGGAGAACUGAGGGGGGCUGCUCCUAGUACGAGAGGACCGGAGUGGACGCAUCACUGGUGUUCGGGUUGUCAUGCCAAUGGCACUGCCCGGUAGCUAAAUGCGGAAGAGAUAAGUGCUGAAAGCAUCUAAGCACGAAACUUGCCCCGAGAUGAGUUCUCCCUGACUCCUUGAGAGUCCUGAAGGAACGUUGAAGACGACGACGUUGAUAGGCCGGGUGUGUAAGCGCAGCGAUGCGUUGAGCUAACCGGUACUAAUGAACCGUGAGGCUUAACCUUACAACGCCGAAG
rnacentral:rRNA from 2 species